CCACCAGAAGAAAAAAAAAACCUUGAUCACAUUAAAACUAAUCAUUCACACCAUAUUUGGAUUGUUAACAGUAAGCAUGUGAUUACAUUAAGUAAAUCUGUCUUCUGCACAGGCAAACUUGAUAUGGAUUUCAUCAAAUAAAGAAAAGGCAGGGAGUAGAAGUGUCCAGGUUGGUGGUGGGGGUAGGUGGGGGGGCGCCAUGCAUCAACAGUAGGAUAAGACUCAGCCUGGGAGUUGGCAGGACGCCAGAGCUCUGCGGCCUGGAGCUACAUCAGAGCAGGGUUCGUGAGCUGCAGUUAUGAGAUGAGGGUCUCAGGUCAUGGAAUAAUAAAAGGCAUAAAGCCUCUGCAGUAAAAGAGCUAAACUACAACUUUUGUUCUCAAGUCUCGGAAAGUCCUCAUGAAGCUUGCUCUCCCCUGCACUUGGGUUGCGGGUGACAGCACUACUGUUUGACGUGGAGGACUUAAACGUGCACGUUCAGCGAUUAAAGGGCUUUUUUUUUUCUUUUUUGUUUACACAAUCAAAAAUGUCCUGAUCUAUUCAGCGGUCCAGGUGGCUAUGAUACAUCACUUAAAAUCUCAUCAAUAUGUUUCUCAGGGGUGUUUUUUGGCGUUAAAUGUAGGGUAUAAAAAAGUUUGGACAGAAUAUCCAGGCUCAGACCCCAUCACAGCGAGCAUCCAGGGGCUAGACACUGACUUUCCUUUAAGUUUUAGCAGUGCCGACAUUGUGGUUUGACUUCUGCACAGAUGGGGAAAGCAAAACAAAUUAAUUUUGCAUUGAAAUUCACCUUCUGUCCUGCUGCUCGUGUUACUGUGCGAAAUUGUAUUUCCUUUCUACUUUGAGUUUUAUGGUUAUUCAUCGCUGAGACAUAGAUAAAAACACUAACUGUGGUGUCCAAGCUUGUACGAUUUACAUGUUUUUAAGUCUAUACAUUGGCUUUAAAAAUGAGAUUUUAAAUAUUAUUAUAGCAGCUAACAGCUUUAUGGCUGACAGGUUUGAUGGCUAACAAGUUCUGAAGACUCUGAAGUUCUCUCAAAUUAAGCCAGAUUAUGAAAACUGGCAAUCUAGAACCUCUGUAUAGUGCUCGGGUCAUGUAACACUUUAACAAACAUUUCAGAAUCCCUGUCAGAUUUGCAUUCUCAUCCUAACCUCGUACACAUGUUUUGGCUUGGAUGUGGGAGAAGGAAUAAACUUUCUUUAUAAUCAUUUUUUGACUGUUUUAGUCAUUUGUAUUUUUAAAACGCUAUAAUAAACCAUAUACCCAUCCUGCAUGCACUCUUACUCAGGAGAUACAGGAAGUAAACUUGUCUGUCGCCAUCCCUCCAAUAAUCGACACACAAAUAUUUGUGCAUGCUGCCAUCCAUUGGUGACUGUCGGCACUGCAACUAAUCAACCAUUCUAAACUUUGCAUUAAGGGGUACUUCCACAAUACAUAAUAUAGCUACACAACAUACUGUAUAUGUAUGUAGUUGUAUAUGUGCUGUCCAGUAAGUUGUGUGUCUGAUCCUAACAAACCGGCAUGAAUACAAUUCUUGGAGGAAAAAAGUCACAGGAAACAAGAGUAUACGUCAGAGACACACUCAAGCUAUAAAGUUUGUAUUCAAAUAGCUACAUGCCGAAUAAAAACAUUCUUGCACAUCCAUCAACGUCAAAUUGAUUUAGUUCGAAAAAUAUGGCAAUAAUACAUUUUCCAGUUUCAUUAAAUUAAAAUACUUCAGAUCUUAAAAAGUGCAUUGGACAAGCCACCCAUUGUUCAUGGUGGACCCAGGUACCCAUCAAACAAUGUAAGAUAACGUGUGCUAUACAAUACACACCUGACAGUGAAGGUUUAAGGCACUUUCCUGUAUCGCAAAGCUCACUCAGAGAGCUUAUAGGUGAGUAAAUUACAUUUUCAAACUGCAACACCCUGUACUUUAAAGACAGUAAGGUGUCCACGAACUGAUAAAAUUGAACAUGGUGAAGUAUAUUGCACCAAAUUCUUAUUGUAAACACAAUUUUACACUUCUAGCACUGUACAAGAGAAAAGGCAUGGCGUGCAUGGCAAUAACUUAAUAAACACACAAACACAAAAAAUAACUUACAUCAAAUAAGGCACACAAAAAAUGCUCACACCCAUGUCAAAUACAGCUUUCACUCAAACAGUAACAAUACAUUUCCAAUGUUACCAUUUUUAGGCAAAAGUCUAAAAAUAUAUAACUGUAUUGGGACAGAUAUCAAGAUUACGCCUGAUACACAACACAGAUUUUAUGUCACUUGAUGUGUUUAAACUGGCAAAAGGCACGGCUAGAAAGAAAAGUUGUGGUAAAGCCUACAAAGAAAUAUCUACCGGGUGGAUGUUUGCAUAGUGCUUGCAUUACCAUUUAAGGCCUUCAGACCUAAUUAGGCACUGCAGUGAAAAGUCCAGUCCACCCUUUCAAUCUGAAUGUGUGUAGUCCGUUAAGGCAGUGCGGACUGCUUGGGUUGUCAAAAAAAAAAAA